rnacentral:rRNA from 1 species
UUUUAUGGAGAGUUUGAUCCUGGCUCAGGAUGAACGCUGGCGGCGUGCCUAAUACAUGCAAGUCGAGCGAACGGACGAGAAGCUUGCUUUUCUGAUGUUAGCGGCGGACG